ensembl:snoRNA SNORA73 Small nucleolar RNA SNORA73 family
CCAACAUGGACAUCCAGGAGGUCACUCUCCCCAGACACUGUCCAUUGGCAUCAGGGAGCACAGGGCUCUACUCCAAACUGCAACAUCCCUUUCUAUAACAUUGAGCAAAAAGCUGAGCUGUGAAUCUGCACCUGCACAUCCCUACAGUUGCUGAGUCUCAUGGACCGUAACUGAGGAGAAAAACUAUGCAGGGAGUAGCC